AAAAAGUGAAUCGUGGCGUCAUCUAGCAGCGAAGAGAUGGAAAUAUCUUCAAUCUACAUGUCGCUCUACAAUGUUGAAGACUGGCAAAUCCUAUAUAACCUGUGAAAAAUAAAAAUUAUUCUCAAGUAAGGAAUAUCCAGUCCUUUAUUAGAUAAAGAGUAUGGCAAACGGUAGUCAUUGCAUGUACUUUGUCAAACGGAAAAAACGUUUCUGUCGCAUGACGGUGGGCGAGGGCAAAAAUUAUUGCGGCGAGCAUCAACAAAACAUCGCCGAUUCCGACGAUACUGGUGACAGGAGAGUAAAGUGUCCACUGGAUCCCACGCACACGUGUUACCAGUCAAAGCUGACGAAGCAUCUGGGCGUGUGCAACACCAAAAGAAAUUUGGAUGCGCAACCUGCGUUUAUAGUCAAGGGUAUCAACUUGGACGAGGAGACUAUGGUGGCGCCACCGCAUGUACCGUUGUCUCAGCUCGAUGAAUCUGUUUUGGAAACGGUGAUAAGAAAGAUCCAUUCUGCCUAUGACAAACUACCAGACUUUUCUCAAGCGAUACUACAGCACGACGUGCUGAAAAACAAAUUGAGGGACGAGACCUGCGGGAGUAACGUUAGAAAACACUUGCUCCAAAACGCAUCUCUACUUGGACAUUUGGAGCAAGCUGGUCUCGUGCAGGACAAUACCUGUUUCAUUGAAUUUGGGGCAGGAAAAGCUUUAUUAACAUACUGGCUGGGGCAGAUCAUAAAAAACAAAUCGAACUCUUGCGUCUUACUAGUCGACCGUUCGAGUCAUCGGCACAAGGGAGACAAUAAACUUAGGAGGGAAGAGAAUCGUCUCGUAAUAAAAAGGGUGCGCGCCGAUAUUGCCGAUUUGCAAUUGAACAAGAUCUUGGAAAUCCAGACAAUCAAAUAUAAAGUCGGGAUAGCGAAACAUCUCUGCGGGACAGCCACUGACUUGGCGAUACGUUGCUUGGCGAAGUCAAUAAACAACGAGCCUAAGGUCGAUGUUCGCGGCUUAGUCCUCGCAUUUUGCUGCCACCACAAAUGCGAAUAUUCGUCUUACGUAGGCAGAGAAUAUCUGCGACAAUGUGACUUCACCGCAAAUGAGUUCUCGGUUUUACGCAGCAUAGUUAGUUGGGCGACCUGUGCUCCUCGUUUAAAAAAUAACGUUAAACCGCAACACGAUUCCACCGUCCGGUACGACGGGCAGGAUAAUGUCAGCUGGUCUUCAAAAUUAGACGAACGCGAAAUUAUCGGACGCAAGGCUAAGACGCUGCUGAAUUGGGGUCGUUUGUCAUUUCUGCAAAGUAUUGGAUUUCAGGCCGAGCUAUUUUAUUAUACUACCACCGAAGUUUCGCCAGAAAAUAUGUGUAUUGUAGCUACUCGAAAAUCAUGAUCAUCGUUACCGCAACAUUUAUUGUUAACUACUACUGCUACCAUCUAUCUUUGAUGGCACCUAUUUCAUCUGAUCGUGACCUCGAUCGGUGGAAUAGGCUGUAAACUUACCGAUUCGUUCAACGACAGUGAAUGACACGAGGACACGAGUCCCUCUCGGAGUAGUACGCAAGACGCAAAUAACUUCCCCCACUCAAUGGGAUGCCCCGCCCAAUACGAGUGAUCUAACGCUGUUCAAACAUUCCAACGCACAAAAGCGACGCGCAAGUAGCUGGAUGUUUUUCACAUCUUGCUUGUGUAAAAUAUUAUUAUAUUACCAAGUGGAGAAUAAAUAUCGACGACGCGACAGGCGAAAGAAAAGGAACAUCCUUAGACGAGCGCGAAGAUUAUCUGAAGAAUCCGUACUUCAAAGGACACGAGUACGGUGACUUCACGCCGUUCUACAUCACGAUAGCCCUCUGCGCUACUUUGGGUGGAGCCCUGUUCAUUCUGAACAUCGUGUUUUGCUGGUGCU